rnacentral:rRNA from 1 species
CCUACGGGAGGCAGCAGUGAGGAAUAUUGGUCAAUGGGCGUAAGCCUGAACCAGCCAAGUCGCGUGAGGGAUGAAGGUUCUAUGGAUCGUAAACCUCUUUUAUAAGGGAAUAAAGUGUGGGACGUGUCCUGUUUUGUAUGUACCUUAUGAAUAAGGAUCGGCUAACUCCGUGCCAGCAGCCGCGGUAAUACGGAGGAUCCGAGCGUUAUCCGGAUUUAUUGGGUUUAAAGGGUGCGUAGGCGGCCUUUUAAGUCAGCGGUGAAAGUUUGUGGCUCAACCAUAGAAUUGCCGUUGAAACUGGGAGGCUUGAGUAUGUUUGAGGCAGGCGGAAUGCGUGGUGUAGCGGUGAAAUGCUUAGAUAUCACGCAGAACCCCGAUUGUGAAGGCAGCCUGCCAAGCCAUGACUGACGCUGAUGCACGAAAGCGUGGGGAUCAAACAGGAUUAGAUACCCGGGUAGUC